GGCCCAGAUCGUUUACCGUGAAAAAAUUAGAGUGUUCAAAGCAGGCAGAUCCAAUUUUCUGCCACCGAAUACAUUAGCAUGGGAUAAUGGAAUAGGACCCUGUCCUCCUAUUUUCAGUUGGUUUUGGCAGCGCGAGGACUAGGGUAAUGAUUAAUAGGGAUAGUUGGGGGCAUUAAUAUUUAAUUGUCAGAGGUGAAAUUCUUGGAUUUAUGAAAGAUUAACUUCUGCGAAAGCAUCUGCCAAGGAUGUUUUCAUUAAUCAAGAACGAAAGUUAGGGGAUCGAAGACGAUCAGAUACCGUCGUAGUCUUAACCAUAAACGAUGCCGACCAGCGAUUAGGAGACGUUGAAUACAAAACACCACCAUCGGCGCGGUCGUCCCUGGCUCGUCGUUUCACGACGGCGGGCGGGGGCGGUUUAGCCCGAUGGCACCGGUGAAUGACUCCCUAGCAGCUUGUGAGA
rnacentral:rRNA from 1 species